rnacentral:rRNA from 1 species
UACGUAGGGUGCAAGCGUUAAUCGGAAUUACUGGGCGUAAAGCGUGCGCAGGCGGUUAUGCAAGACAGAUGUGAAAUCCCCGGGCUCAACCUGGGAACUGCACUUGUGACUGCAUGGCUAGAGUACGGUAGAGGGGGAUGGAAUUCCGCGUGUAGCAGUGAAAUGCGUAGAUAUGCGGAGGAACACCGAUGGCGAAGGCAAUCCCCUGGACCUGUACUGACGCUCAUGCACGAAAGCGUGGGGAGCAAACAGG